GCAGACCUUGUUUAAAAGCAGCUCUAGAAGAUUAACACUAAAACCAGCAGUUUGGAAACGUGGUGAUUUUCACUGGAAUGCCCAUUCUGAGGCAUGCAGGGUCUGAGGGGAUCUUGCUGGUUAUCAGGCCUCCAUAUUUAUUUGGUUUCCUAAGCUUUUCCCGGUUUGUCAACAUCCUUUAGGUAAUUUUGCCACCAAAAAUAGGCAGAGAAUUCAAACACUUUGAAGCAAUCUGUUUCCUAUUGAGUUUUUCUUGCCCUCUCCAGUGAAACUUAUUUUUCUACUAAUAUCCUUUUUGCCUUCUACCAUCCAACUCAGGAGACCAACUGGGAAAGACCACCACAGCCAGCUUCAGUGUAAUAUCCCAGGACUUGGACUCGAUGAUCCUUAUGGGUCCCUUCCAACAUGGGGCUUUGUGCAAAUGUGAUCUGCCAACCUUGCGUGCCACUGCUGGCACUCGGUGCUUCAAUCUGCCAACAAGAUGCAGCAACACCUGAGUGCAUCUGUCCCUGUUUACAGCAGCCCAGUGGGACGGGCAGCUCAGUGCCCCAGAACUUGUGCUGCCUUUACCUGCAGGACAAGAGAACCAUCCUUUGUAACCCCAGACAUCUGCAUGUUUCUUCAUACUCGUUUAUGUUUUUAUCUCUGCUAUUUCCCUAAAUGCACAUAAGCAUAUGCUUUUAACAUACGCAUUUAUAUAUUAGGUAAAACAAACCUCUGUCUUAAAAAGCAGCAGAAGCUAACUUCCCACAGGCAACAUCCACUUCCCUUACCUGCUUGUGUGAACAGUCCAUAACUACCCAUUCCCUUUCCUCCUGAAAUGCACAGAGCAUAAGCAGUGCUCAGGUUGUGUUCUCUGUGUGUCUAUCAAAUGCUCACCUCACCAAACACUCAGACUAUCAUCUUCUUCCUUUUCUCUGACCCAACUCCAUCUCAGUGCCCAAAUCCCAGGGCUGCUCCUUCCUUUCUCACCCUGCUGUGUCUCACCCAGUCUCCCAUGUUCACCCUCAGCGAUGGCAGGAGCUGCUUUCCCCAUCCAUCCCUCUCAGCUCUCCAUUUCCUCUGCUCUUCCAAGGGAGCCUAAAGCUGUGAUGAUAAUUGGGGCUCCUUCAACAAGUCCAAGGGGGGUGAACCAGGCCACAGAGCCAACAGGGAGUCCCCAAAUUCCUUAGCUGUUACAGCAGACUUCUCAUUGUUACCCAGGCAAGCAACUUAACCCCCUACCCUCCUUCUAGCAAGCGUGAGCUAAUCCUGCACAAUAAAAUCUUCCUCCCUUGGAGGAGUGCA
rnacentral:lncRNA from 1 species